GGGGGGGGGGGGGGGGUAAGUGUAAUGGCGGCUAGGGUUUAUGCACAGCGUAGCGCCCCCCUCUUUAAAUUCACACAAAACUCCAUCCCUCAACUUAACCUAAACUUCUACUACUGCGGCAAUACUCGUAAAUCGGAUUCAAUCUACACACUGGAGCCAAGUUCCUGCUUCAUAUCUGAUGUAAUUUCAUCGCCUCUGAAGCUCAAAAAUAUAUCAUCGACUACAUCGGUUCUUAAUCGUUUUGUUACAUGAUAUGUUUUUGAGUUUCGAGGCUAUGAUAUUGGUCAAUAAUCAUACUUCUUUCAGAUCUAACGGUUUCAUUAUCUGAAACUGCUGGUCACGUGGAUGAUACUAAUACGGAAACUCCGGCGUAUAGACAGAGAAACUUAAGUAUGUUGGUGUUUAAGCUGAUUUAAAAAGAAAUUUUUAUAAUUUUGUUUUGAAAAGAGUCUUUUUUUUAUAAUUCGGGAACCAAUGCAAAAGAAUAUCACACAUGAGAGAGGUUAAACACCGCGUCCUUUUUAUUUUUAAUAUUUAUUCGGGGAACCAGAUCAUAAUAAAAAAAAAAAGCUUUUUAUGAUAUUGAA